UACAGAGGGGCAAGCGUUAUUCGGAAUUAUUGGGCGUAAAGGGCGCGUAGGCGGCUUGGCAAGUGGAAGGUGAAAUCCCUCGGCUUAACCGAGGAACUGCCUUCCAGACUGCUUUGCUUGAGGCCGGGAGAGGCGAGUGGAAUUCCAGUGUAGCGGUAGAAAUGCGUAGAUAUUGGGAGGAACACCAGUGGCGAAGGCGGCUCGCUGGACCGGUUCUGACGCUGAGGCGACGAAAGCGGUGGGAGCAAAGCGGGG
rnacentral:rRNA from 1 species